GCCAUAUCCCCCCACACACAAAGAAUAAGUGGUAAUUGGUAAAUAAAAAGAAAUGGUUGAAGAGUAGACUCGUAGAAUGGUAACUUGACUUAAUGGGCAUGGCACUCAAUAAAAAAGAAGAGAAAUAAGUGUACGAAUGAAUUGAAUAAUGAAAACAAAACACCCAUUACAUAUUCCCUGAUGUGAUUCACUCAUUUCAUUUCUCCUUCUCCAUUUCCUCUCUACUCAUUACUAAUUUGCCCUACUUAUUCAUUCCUCAACUCCACUCUUUUCUCUCCUAUCAACCCAAAAAUGUCCAGAGAAAGAGGCAAAGAAGUGGGCGAGGACUCCACUCCCAGCCGAUACGAAUCGCAGAAACGCAGAGACUGGAACACCUUCGGGCAGUACCUGGGGAACCAGAAGCCCCCAGUGUCCAUCUCCCAGUGCACCAGCAGCCAUGUACAUGGUUUUCUGGGCUAUUUAGAUCAGUUUGGGAAGACUAAAGUCCAUGUUCAAGGCUGCGUAUUCUUCGGCCAGCCUGAGCCUCCAGCCCCCUGUGCCUGUCCGCUCAGACAGGCCUGGGGGAGCCUGGAUGCCCUCAUAGGCAGGCUUCGGGCUGCCUAUGAGGAAAACGGAGGGUCACCUGACACCAAUCCGUUUGCAAGCGAUUCCAUUCGCUUGCAUCUUCGACAAGUCAAGGAGGUCCAGGCCAAGGCCCGGGGGAUUCCUUACAAGAAGAAAAAGAAGAACAAGACUACUGGUAGCCAGAGCAGCCACAAAGAGGAUCAGGAUGAGUCCAGUUCUGCCAUUUAGUAUCCAAGCUGCCAAAAACAUAUGGUUUGCAGGUUAGACGGAAAGUAUGAGAGUUGUUGGCAAUGUAGGUCAACUGAUAUUUUGAAAGGCACUUGAAAUGGUGAUGGACCAUUCUACCAAAUGCAUUUCCUAUCAGUUCCAUAACUAAUAUCAACGCCAGACUAAAUAAAUCUAUCUGCCAGAGUUUUCAGAUUCCGGCUGUCCGCUUCAUCAUCAGGCAUGGCGGGGAGGGCUAUCGCUAGAAAAAAGAAAAAAUGAAAUCUGUAUUUCACCGAUUUAUGCAAAUAUCUUCCAGUGAAUUUGGUAUGUCAUGAACAAUAUUUCUAUUGCCUGUUAUAUAUGCAGUUUCUUGAUUCGUAUUA